rnacentral:rRNA from 1 species
UACGUAGGGUGCGAGCGUUGUCCGGAAUUAUUGGGCGUAAAGAGCUUGUAGGCGGUUUGCCGCGUCUGCCGUGAAAAUCCGGGGCUCAACCCCGGACUUGCGGUGGGUACGGGCAGACUAGAGUGUGGUAGGGGAGACUGGAAUUCCUGGUGUAGCGGUGAAAUGCGCAGAUAUCAGGAGGAACACCGAUGGCGAAGGCAGAUCUCUGGGCCGUAACUGACGCUGAGGAGCGAAAGCGUGGGGAGCGAACAGG